UACGAAGGGGGCGUAGCGUUGCUCGGAAUCACUGGGCGUAAAGGGUGCGUAGGCGGGUCUUUAAGUCAGGGGUGAAACUCCUGGAGCUCAACUCCAGAACUGCCUUUGAUACUGAAGAUCUUGAGUUCGGGAGAGGUGAGUGGAACUGCGAGUGUAGAGGUGAAAUUCGUAGAUAUUCGCAAGAACACCAGUGGCGGAAGGCGGACUCACUGGCC
rnacentral:rRNA from 1 species